CUCCUCAUCACUUGAAUCAUUAGUUGCAAGCAUCCGUUUCUGUCGCUCUUCCUCUAAUCGCUCUAGUCGUUCUCUCUCCUCCUGGGCAAUCUCCUCUGGUGUCUUUGUCCUGUCUGAUGGAUAAGCACGAAUAUCCAAUGACAUCUCUUUGACAAGUUUAUCAUAAGAAUCAGGUUUUCCCUGCUGACUAAAAGCUUCUGGUUUUUGAGUAACUAAUAAAUCAUCCUUCUUCACAUGCUCAUUAGGAAUGCUCUGAUUCACAAGCGCCUUCAAGGCAUUCAUC
rnacentral:misc_RNA from 1 species